UUACGGCCACAUCUCGUUGAAACACCGGUUUCUGUAUGAUCACCGAAGUUAAGCAAAAUCGAACCGGCUCAGUAUCUAGAUGGGUGACCGCCUGGAAAUACCAGGUGCAGUAAG